rnacentral:rRNA from 1 species
AUUGAACGCUGGCGGCAGGCUUAACACAUGCAAGUCGAGCGGUAACAGAGAGGAGCUUGCUUCUCUGCUGACGAGCGGCGGACGGGUGAGUAAUGCCUAGGAAUCUGCCUAGUAGUGGGGGAUAACUUGCCGAAAGGUAAGCUAAUACCGCAUACGUCCUACGGGAGAAAGGAGGGGACCUUCGGGCCUUUCGCUAUUAGAUGAGCCUAGGUCGGAAUAGUUAGUUGGUGAGGUAAUGGCUCACCAAGACCGCGAUCCGUAACUGGUCUGAGAGGAUGAUCAGUCACACUGGAACUGAGACACGGUCCAGACUCCUACGGGAGGCAGCAGUGGGGAAUAUUGGACAAUGGGGGGAACCCUGAUCCAGCCAUGCCGCGUGUGUGAAGAAGGUCUUAGGAUUGUAAGGCACUUUAAGUUGGGAGGAAGAGCAGUUAACUAAUAUUUGACUGUUUUGACGUUACCGACAGAAUAAGCACCGGCUAACUUCGUGCCAGCCGCCGCGGUAA